AAGAGCACGAGACGCCAUUUUUCUUAUUAUAUUGGAACGGCUUCCGCUUACAGGGGUUGACCAUACAUAAGUAUUACAUAAAUAAAUACAAUAGUAAAGAUUGUACCCCGGACUGAGAUAAUAAAUUUUUCACCCUCGACUGCAUAUAGUGAAAAGAGACGGGUACUUGACCUAGGCUACCUUGCAUUUUUCCGAAGGUGGUGUCGUUAGUGCCUGGUAUACUAAAUUAACUCUGCUAUACUUUAGUAUACAAGAUAAUGAAGACCGCAUCUGUACCUAAAUGAAAUUCUUCAAGUCCCUGAAUACAUUAAUAGGUUGCUAAAUACUCGCCUCAAUUUAUGAAGGAGCGAAAAAUAUUUGGAAACAGCCGAAGAUGAAUAUCACCAUUCAAACUGGAUUUGAGUUCCUCAAUCAAUCAGGGACAAGCAUUUGAUAACGGCUGAUCAUGUCAGAGAUGUCAAAGAAUUCAAGAAAUGCGCGGUAAAAGUAUCUUAAUAUUAGUUUAAAAAUUUAUUAUAAUAAUUAAUAUAAGAUAUAAGAUGGAAAAAAUUAUGUACUUUGUCAUUUAUUAUGAAAUUUCAUUGUAAAUGAUUGAAAUAAAACUUUAUUUAAAAAAAAU